ACCUAUGAGCAGAGGAAAAUCGUGGAGUUCACCUGCCACACAGCCUUCUUCGUCAGUAUUGUGGUGGUGCAGUGGGCCGACUUGGUCAUCUGUAAGACCAGGAGGAAUUCGGUCUUCCAGCAGGGAAUGAAGAACAAGAUCUUGAUAUUUGGCCUCUUUGAAGAGACGGCCCUGGCUGCUUUCCUUUCCUACUGCCCUGGAAUGGGUGUUGCUCUUAGGAUGUAUCCCCUCAAGUAAGUUGAUCCUCUUGUAGCUCCAAAAAGUAUGAAAUAGUAUGUGUGGCUUUUCCCCCAUUACUUGUGGUAAUAGCUGUUAUUUUCAGAAUUUUGAGUGGUAUGUACAAAAAUUCCUAUGGGUCGGAAAACUGGGAAAGCUUGACAUGUCAGUAAAUCAGACUAACAAAUCCUGAGGCUUCCAUGAUAGCAGCUAGUGCUUAGGAUUUGGCCCAAGAUAAGAUAAAGCCACACAGGCUCUAGCUCCAUGGAAUUGCUCGACAGCGAACUGCAUUGAGCACUCAGGUCUGCCACAGCUGUAGUCCAGUUGUCUUUAGAGGCCAACUGGGGGUAUGCUGGAGCUUAGGUGCCCAGGGCUCAAAUAUUGAUUUGCUUGCU
rnacentral:sRNA from 1 species